CAGACUCUGCGACAGAAACUAAAUGGGGCUUGGACUGAAACAAACUGGGGCUGAGACUGGGUCUUGGUUGGACUGAUAUGAAACUGGUACCGGUACUUGGGACUAUGACUGACUCGGACUGGGACUGGGACAGCUUGGACUAGACCGGACUACUUUGUUAGAAUAUGUACGAGGAGCCCUGAGAAUAUUAAGACAUCUCACUAAUCGAGGAAUCAAGAUUCGGAUUGAGCCAGACGAAAACGUGGAUGCUGUUCUCGCGUCACCGCUGAUAAAGUGGAUAGAGGUUGACGAUACAUGUCCAGAUUUUUCAACUGCGUCAACAUGUCAUAUGCUGAAAAGAUUGCCAUUACCGAACCGCACAUACCUUGGAGAGAAGUUCAAGACUGGGAAAUACUUUCUCAUAUACAACACGAUUGUACUGGAGUGUGGAAAUUUUUGGACUGCAUUUGAUGUAUUCCUGAAAAUUUUCAUUGUGUUUCAAUUGAAAGUUCCCGUUUUGCUUUCAAAACUCUUAGUUUGCGUCACUCUCUGGAAAAUCCCCAUUACAUAAAAAAAAAUUUACUGUAAACAACCUUAGCAAGCGAUUCGAAGAUUUUUUCGGCUAAAUAUAUGUACAUCCUAAU